UUAGGGUUCGAUUCCGGAGAGGGAGCCUGAGAAACGGCUACCACAUCUAAGGAAGGCAGCAGGCGCGCAAAUUACCCAAUCCUAAUACAGGGAGGUAGUGACAAGAAAUAACAAUACAGGACUUUUUGGUUUUGUAAUUGGAAUGAGUUAAGUAUAAACCCCUUUACAAGUAUCAAUUGGAGGGCAAGUCUGGUGCCAGCAGCCGCGGUAAUUCCAGCUCCAAUAGCGUAUAUUAAAGUUGUUGCAGUUAAAAAGCUCGUAGUUGGAUUUCUGUUAAUAAUUUAUAUAAAAUAUUUUGAUGAAUAUUUAUAUAAUAUUAACAUAAUUCAUAUUACUAUAUAUUUUAGUAUAUGAAAUUUUACUUUGAGAAAAUUAGAGUGCUUAAAGCAGGCAUAUGCCUUGAAUACUCCAGCAUGGAAUAAUAUUAAAGAUUUUUAUCUUUCUUAUUGGUUCUAAGAUAAGAAUAAUGAUUAAUAGGGACAGUUGGGGGCAUUUGUAUUUAACAGUCAGAGGU
rnacentral:rRNA from 1 species